rnacentral:rRNA from 1 species
UACAUGUGGGGCAAGCGUUGUUCGGAAUUACUGGGCAUAAAGGGUGCGUAGGUGGCUUGUUAAGUCAGGGGUGAAAGUUUUCGGCCCAACCGGAAAAUGGCCUUUGAUACUGGCGAGCUCGAGUGCGUGAGGGGUAACCGGAACGAGCAGUGUAGCGGUGAAAUGCGUAGAUAUUGCUCGGAAGGCCAACGGCGAAGGCAGGUUACUGGUGCGCAACUGACACUGAGGCACGAAAGCGUGGGGAGCAAACAGG